UACGGAGGAUCCGAGCGUUAUCCGGAUUUAUUGGGUGUAAAGGGCGCGUAGGCGGACUGGUAAGUCAGCUGUGAAAGUUUACGGCUCAACCGUGGAAUUGCAGUUGAUACUGUUGGUCUUGAGUAUAGAAGAGGUGGGCGGAAUUUGUGGUGUAGCGGUGAAAUGCGUAGAUAUCACAAAGAACUCCAAUUGCGAAGGCAGCUCACUGGGCUAUAACUGACGCUGAGGCACGAAGGUGUGGGUAGCAAACAGG
rnacentral:rRNA from 1 species